AUUGAACGCUGGCGGCAGGCCUAACACAUGCAAGUCGAACGAGUGGCGGACGGGUGAGUAAUGUCUGGGAAACUGCCUGAUGGAGGGGGAUAACGACUGGAAACGGUAGCUAAUACCGCAAACCAUCAGAUGUGCCCAGGUGGGAGUAUCUAGUUGGGGGGGUAACGGCUCACCAAGGCGUCGAUCCCUAGCUGGUCUGAGAGGAUGACCAGCCACACUGGGACUGAGACACGGUCCAGACUCCUACGGGAGGCAGCAGUGGGGAAUAUUUCGCAAUGGGCGCAAGCCUGAUGCAGCCAUGCCGCGUGUGUGAAGAAGGCCUUCGGGUUGUAAAGUACUUUCAGCGGGGAGGCGUUACCCACAGAAGAAGCACCGGCUAACUCCGUGCCAGCAGCCGCGGUAAUAC
rnacentral:rRNA from 1 species